AGUGACCAUAAUUACAUGGUACAUUUUGAUUGCAUCACUUUUUGCUACAUAACACAUUUUCUUUGGGGCAUGGAUUUCUGCUGCUUUUUUCAAAUUAACAAAACAGGAUUGGAACUGAAAAGUACAUUCCAUUAGAUGAGCAUUAUAUAGAAAGUUAUAUAAAUGCAUUUUUUCCAGGGACAUCUUAGCACAUUUUGAACAUAAACUCAACAUACUGUUUUAGUUGUACAAACAAUAUAACAGUAAUUGAAAUACCAUAAAUUUGCUUGUAUUGUAUUUAACCAUUUAAAAAAUUUAUUUUGAAUUUUGUCCAACAAAGCUGUAAUUACAUCUUUAUUUUUUAGACCCAUUAGGACGCCAAGGGUAUUAGAAAAAGGCGACUGUUCCGACGAUGAUAAUUCGUCUCCCAGUAUUUCUGAAAAAUCCGAACAAGCAAGCAGUAGUAUACAUAGGAUUGCAGACGAAUUUGUUGCAAAUCCAGCAGAAUUGCGGAAGAAAGAAGAAGAAAGAAUUCA